rnacentral:rRNA from 1 species
UAAAGAGCCGCGGUAUUUUGACCGUGCAAAGGUAGCAUAAUCAUUAGUCUCUUAAUUAGAGGCUGGUAUGAAUGGUUUGACGAAAAAUCAUCUGUCUCUUAUUAAAUUAUAGAAUUUAAUUUUUGAGUUAAAAAGCUUAAAUUUUUCUUUAAGACGAGAAGACCCUAUAGAGCUUAACAUUUUAUUUUUAUAUAAUUUUUUGUUAGGUUUUUUUAUAUUUAAAGAUAAUGUUUUGUUGGGGUGACAUGAAGAAUAGAUAAACUCUUCGUAAUAAAAUCAUUAAUUUAUGUUUAUAUGAUCCAUAAUUUAUGAUCAUAAGAUUUAGUUACCUUAGGGAUAACAGCGUAAUUAUUUUUGAGAGCUCAUAUCGACAAAAUAGAUUGCGACCUCGAUGUUGGAUUAAGAAUAGCUUUGGGUGAGAAG